rnacentral:misc_RNA from 1 species
GAUGAAGAACGUAGCGAAAUGCGAUAAGUAAUGUGAAUUGCAGAAUUCCGUGAAUCAUCGAAUCUUUGAACGCACAUUGCGCCCUCUGGUAUUCCGGAGGGCAUGCCUGUCCGAGCGUCAUUGCUGCCCUCAAGCACGGCUUGUGUGUUGGGCCCCGCCCCCCGAUCCCGGGGGGCGGGCCCGAAAGGCAGCGGCGGCACCGCGUCCGGUCCUCGAGCGUAUGGGGCUUUGUCACCCGCUCUGUAGGCCCGGCCGGCGCCUGCCGAUCAACCAAACUUUUUUCCAGGUUGACCUCGGAUCAGGUAGGGAUACCCGCUGAACUUAAGCAUAUCAAUAAGCGGAGGA